rnacentral:rRNA from 1 species
GACGAACGCUGGCGGCGUGCUUAACACAUGCAAGUCGAACGGAAAGGCCCUGCUUUUGGGCGGUGCUCGAGUGACGGACGGGUGAGUUACCCGUGAGUAACCUGCCCCUGACCUUGGGGUAACUUCAGGCCACAGGGGCUAAUCCCGGCUAGGAGCUCCUGCUGCAUGGUGGGGGUUGGAUAGAUUCGGUGGUUGGGGAUGGACUAGCGGCUUAUCAGCUUGAUGGUGGGGUAGUGGCUUACCAAGGCCUUGACGGGUAGCCGGGCUGAGAGGGGCACCGGCCACAUUGGGACUGAGAUACGGCACAGACUCCAACGGGAGGCAACGGUGGGGAAUAGUGUACAAGGGGCGGAAGGCUGACCUGGCAACGCCGUGUGCGGGAUGACGGGCUUCGGGUAGUAAUGCACUGUCGCCUGUGACGGGGCGUGAGUGACGGUAAUGGGUAAAGAAGCACCGGCUAACUACGUG